GAGGAUAAUGCAGAAAGCCCAACCCUCCCAAGAAUCGAAGCUCCCUCUCCUCCCAUGGAGCUCCUCCUCCUCCAUCCUCCUCCCUUCCCCUCCCUCCUCCUCCUCCACAAACCCUACCACUUCCCCUCCAAGCUCCGCCAUGGCCGCCUGCAAGAACCCCGCGUCAUGGCGUCCCCGCAGGCGCCUCCCCUCCCGCUUUCGUCGCUCCAAGAAUCGAGAAGCGCUCGUAUCCGUAUCCCCCGCGACGAGCCGAGGCCGACGCCGCCCGCGCGCAGCAGCAGCAGGGAGGAGCCCCGGUUCGUCGCGGAGACCAAACUCAUCACCGUGCAUUCCUGCGCGGGGCGGCUCGGGGACGCACGGGAGGUGUUCGACGGAAUGGGCCGCAGGGACCUGCUCGCCUGGUCGGCCAUGAUCGGCGCGUACGCCAUCAGGGGAAUGUACAGUGACGUCCUCGCGCUCGCGGUGACCAUGGUCGAGGAAGGGGUGCUCCCGGACAGGUUCCUGAUCACGCGGAUUUUACAGGCGUGCGCAUAUGCCGAGGACCUUGAGCUUGGUAGGGCGCUCCAUUCCAUGGCUAUCAGGAGAGGGUUCAUGGGGAGGGUAAAGGAUGUGCCGGUUGGGAACUCGGUGCUUGUGAUGUAUGCCAAAUGUGGAGAUUUGGGGUGGGCGCGCAAGGUGUUUGACAAGAUGGUGUGCAGGGACUUGGGCACAUGGAAUUCGAUGAUUUUUGGUUAUUGCCGGUCUGCUGAGUGGGAGGAGGCACGGCAUCUGCUCGACUCCAUGAGGCAGGAAGGUACGCAGCCAGGGGUUGUUACGUGGAAUACAUUGAUUUCGAGCUAUGCCAGGUUCGGGGAUCUUGAUGUGGCAAUGGAAUUGCUUGGGCAGAUGGAGGAGUCUGGAGUUGCACCGGAUGUCGUCACAUGGACUAGCCUUGUCUCUGGCUUUGUUCAUAUGGAUAGGAGUGAUGAGGCACUUCGAUGUUUCAUUCGGAUGCGUCUUGCUGGAGUUGAACCUAACGGCAUGUCAAUUGCAUGUGCUAUCUCAGCUUGUGCCAGUUUGAAGUUACUAAACCAGGCAAAGGAGCUCCAUAGCCAUGCUAUUAAGGUUGGCAGUGUUAACAACGUGCUCUCAGGGAACUCCUUGGUUGACAUGUAUGCAAAAUGUGGAGAAAUAGUUGCAGCUUGGAGAAUAUUUAGUGGGAUACCUGACAAGGAUAUAUUCUCCUGGAAUUCAAUGAUUUCAGGGUAUGCACAAGCAGGUUAUUGUGGCAAAGCAUACGAGCUCUUCUGUAAGAUGGAAAACUAUGGUGUUCGGCGCAAUGUGAUAACCUGGAAUACAAUGAUCUCAGGGUACAUACGGAAUGGGGAUGAUGAGAGAGCUUUUGAGCUAUUCCAGAUGAUGGAAAGUCAUGGAGUAAAAAGGGAUACAGCAACCUGGAACAUACUCAUUGCUGGAUCAGUGCAUAAUGGUUAUUAUGAUAGAGCCAUAAGAAUAUUCCGGCAGAUGCAGGCACUUCUGAGGAGGCCUGACUACAUUACCAUCCUUAGCAUUAUUCCAGCAUUCACAAAUCUAGUUGCGUCCUGGAAAGUACGGGAGAUCCAUGCCUGUAUUUUUCACCACAAUUUAGAACUGGAUGGCAAAAUUGCAAAUGCACUUAUCAAUGCAUAUUCAAAAUCUGGUAAUCUUGCUAGUGCGUGUGCUGUGUUUGAUAUGCAUUCAUCAAGGAACAUUAUUUCUUGGAACUGUAUCAUUCUCGCUCAUGUGCUGCAUGGUUCUCCAAAUGAAGCCUUGGAUCUUUUCUGUCAAAUGAAGCAAGAAGGUGUUGUGCCAGAUCAUACAACUUUGGUCACUGUUAUCAAGGCCUAUGGUCUCACGGGAAAGGUAUCUGAAGGGUCUCAGACAUUUUUCAACAUGGCCAAUGAUUACAAUAUAACUCCAGAAUUAGACCAUUAUGCAGCAAUGGUGGAUCUUCUUGGUCGGUCAGGGAGACUAAAAGAAGCAUAUGAGCUUAUUGACGAGAUGCCUUUGAUACCCAAUUCAACAGUCUGGGACACAUUUCUUACUGCAGCUGUAAUGCAUGGAAAUGUAAGACUGGCUCACCUGGCAGCUAGAGAACUGUCUGCGAUUGAUCCUGGAGAUCCCAGAGUCCAAAGGUUAGGUUCUAGUCUGCAAGAUCUAACUGGAAAAACUGUUGAUGUGCCAGAGGAGAUGACACCCAACAAAGGAAGAAAUUUAGAUGAGGUCGAGAGCUGUUCAAUAGAAAUCAGGAAUAAGGUGUAUGUGUUCUCAAAUGGUGAUAAUGUUGGCUUGGAGGAUACAGUAGCAGAAUUAAAGUCGAUGAUGUUUAAGAUGGGACAUUCUAUGCUUGACAUUGGCAUUGGAACUCUAGAUGUUGAAGAAGAAAAGGAAGAAGUUGUUGGAGUCCAUUGUGAGAAGCUAGCUAUUGCAUUUGGGCUUUCUAAUUCCCCACAGUUCAAAAACAUAAGGAUAAUCAAAACUGCAAGGAUGUGUAACCAUUGCCACACCUUUGCCAAACUAGUUUCAGAGAAAUAUGGACGCCAUAUACUGAUCAAGGAUCCAAAGUGUUUGCAUAAGUUUGAGGAUGGAAAAUGCUCUUGUGAAGAUUAUUGGUGAAUGAUGAAUACAACUAGUUUAUGUCUACUGGGUAAAAUAUCUUGCCAAGUGUCCUUUUGCAGGAUUACACGCUGCUAACCUCUUGAACAGAAUUCAAACACUUGGAGGAUAGCCUAUCCAUCAAUUCAACCCCCAGACAAAAAUAUCCAGUACUAUGUGGUAUCAGAAAAGGAGACUGUUCUGAUGCUAUUCCAGCUUCAGUUUAGGUUUAUUUUGAACGGCUUGGGAGACAGUACUGGUGGUUACUCCAUUCCAUCAUUCAAGAAACAGUUUGGUUCAGAAGCAUGAACAUGGCAAUGUAACUUUGAGAGUUAUAGACUUGAAUGGAAAAAAUGAAAUUCUUCAAGUGGUUCCUAUUUAUACACUGCUGGAGCAAAUAAGAAUUAUCUUAGUAGAUUUUAAUAGCACCAUAAACAUUAGGGAUAGUGAGGCUAGAAAAUCUAUUGUCCACAUUCAUUAGGUCCAAUCUAAUACGGAACCAUCAUAUUACAUUACGCUUCAUUUGCCUCCCGUUCGAUGACACAAUUUGUUGGAUUUGUUUGCCCCUCUGACCAAAGGAAACCACGUGGAAAGCGUGGUUAUCAGCUAAUCAUGUGGAAGGAGGGGAUGAACAGAGGAGAACGAAGAGAUGCUAAGAUCAGAGAAGACAGAGGACGAAAAGAAUUUAAUAGUACCACUCACUUUGCUCGAUUGCUUCCAACAAUGUUAUGCCGAUGAGGAGGAUUAUAGUGACUUGCUCACUUUGAGAAUUGACCAUUUUGCCCCUGUACAUUUCCUGUCUGGAACUGGUAUAGCUAUAGUUGAGAUAAAGUGUUUAGCUAAAGAUGGAUGGGAGGAUCGGUGGGUCAAAUCUGAGUGGAAGAAGGAGGACAACACAGUCGGCGAGUGGAACCACACGGCCGGCAAGUGGAACGGCGACACCAACAACAAGGGUAUCCAGACAUCAGAGGACUACAGAUUCUACGCCAUUUCGGCCGAGUACCCUGAGUUCAGCAACAAGGACAAGACCCUCGUGCUGCAGUUCUCGGUGAAGCACGAGCAGAAGCUCGACUGCGGCGGCGGCUACGUGAAAUUGCUUGGCGGCGAUGUUGACCAGAAGAAGUUUGGUGGCGAGACACCGUACAGCAUCAUGUUUGGACCAGAUAUCUGCGGGUAUGCCACCAAGAAGGUUCACGCUAUCCUUACUAAGGGUGUGUUUGAGGAGAAGGAGAUAGAGAAGAUUGGGAAGGUACGCAAAACGAGCCUAAGAACGGCAAUAACCAUCUGAUCAAGAAGGACGUGCCAUGCGAGACCGAUCAACUGACACACGUCUACACCUUGAUCAUCCGUCCUGACGCCAAAUACAGCAUUCUGAUUGAUAACACUGAGAAGCGAACUGGAAGCAUCUAUGGUGAUUGUGAUAAUCUUCCUCCAAAGAAGAAGAAGGAUCCUGAAGCCAAGAAGGUUGAUGUGAUGGGAAAGGACUGAAGUUUAGAUCCAAACUUUGGAUCUAAACACAGCCUGGGACGACAAGGAAUCAUUCCUGAUCCUGAGUACGAGAAGCCUGAGGUUGCUUUCCUUUGUUUGCGCAACUUUAGAUGAUAUUUCUGUCUGAAGAUUAAUUGAGUUUUUACUAAUACCACUCUACUGAGUUUCUAAAUGAAAAUGGGUGGCAGUUUUGUACUGUAUGUUGUGAGCUUGCUGCUCCUCAGAUAGCAAUAGAGUACAUUGUGUUACAAAAGCAUCAUGAGGCCAUAUUUGAUCUCAUCAAAGGCUCAUCAAAGAGCAACAAUGGCAUCAAUCAAGUGACUUGUAACAGCCAUAUUAUGGAGUAUUUGUAUCACAAUAACAGUGAAUCCUAGGCUUGUACACAUACAAAUCCUCAAUAUAAAAGAGGACAUAUUGAGAUCAAUAAAAUGGGAUUCACUGUUUUCACUGUUUA